AUUGAACGCUGGCGGCAGGCCUAACACAUGCAAGUCGAACGGUAACAGGAAGCAGCUUGCUGCUUCGCUGACGAGUGGCGGACGGGUGAGUAAUGUCUGGGAAGCUGCCUGAUGGAGUGGGAUAACUACUGGAAACGGUAGCUAAUACCGCAUAAUGUCGCAAGACCAAAGAGGGGGACCUUCGGGCCUCUUGCCAUCGGAUGUGCCCAGAUGGGAUUAGCUUGUUGGUGGGGUAACGGCUCACCAAGGCGACGAUCCCUAGCUGGUCUGAGAGGAUGACCAGCCACACUGGAACUGCGACACGGUCCAGACUCCUACGGGAGGCAGCAGUGGGGAAUAUUGCACAAUGGGCGCAAGCCUGAUGCAGCCAUGCCGCGUGUAUGAAGAAGGCCUUCGGGUUGUAAAGUACUUUCAGCGGGGAGGAAGGGAGUAAAGUUAAUACCUUCGCUCAUUGACGUUACCCGCAGAAGAAGCACCGGCUAACUCCGUG
rnacentral:rRNA from 1 species